rnacentral:rRNA from 1 species
UACGAAGGGGGCUAGCGUUGCUCGGAAUCACUGGGCGUAAAGGGUGCGUAGGCGGGUUUUUAAGUCAGGGGUGAAAUCCUGGAGCUCAACUCCAGAACUGCCUUUGAUACUGAAGAUCUUGAGUUCGGGAGAGGUGAGUGGAACUGCGAGUGUAGAGGUGAAAUUCGUAGAUAUUCGCAAGAACACCAGUGGCGAAGGCGGCUCACUGGCCCGAUACUGACGCUGAGGCACGAAAGCGUGGGGAGCAAACAGG